rnacentral:lncRNA from 1 species
AUGUCCAUCCUGGGUGUCCGGAGGCCUCCUGCCCCGCUCCUCAUCCAGAGUCAGCUCGCCUCUGCCCGCCAGGGCCCCGCCACCACCAGCUCAGGGAACGGGACCCUUCGCCGAGACCCCUCCUUCCCGCGCCCCCGCCCGGCCGCGGGCCCCCAGCCCCGGCGCGCUCUCGGCGCCCCCUCGGCGCCCCCGCACUUACCCGCCACGGGCCGCGGGCUCCGGACGCAGCGAAGGGACAGACCCUGGAGAGGCGGAGCGGCGGCUCGCAGGCCCGCCCGCCCGGCCGUCCACCGCCAGCACCCGCCGCGCUCCCGCCCGCCCAGCCGAGGGGCUCAGGGCGCGGGCCGCCGCUCCCAGCCCGGCCACGGGCGCUUCCUGCCUUCGAGCGCCCGCCCCGCCCCCGCCCCGCGGUCCGGGCUCGCUCCCCAGCCGGCCUGUGCGGGCCGGGUCUUUGUCUGGAGUUGGCCUUUCUUCGAUUCAGGGCACACAGAGCAAAAGAAGUGGGAGCUGCGGGCAGCUGGGCGGUUGCCGGGGGAUCCUCGCGAGGAGGAGGGGAGGGACUGGGGGUCCUGGCUGCUAGCUUACAAACCUCCCCAUCCGCCUGUAGCCUCCUCCUCGCCGCUGCCCCCGCCCAGGUCUCCCUGCCCCGGGGGUUGGCCCCUGGUGGAGGGGAAAUACGCAGGGUCCUGGGUGAUCACAAACAGCCUCCCCUGCCCCUGCCCCGCCCCCCGCACACAAGGACACAAGGAGGACUCUCAUCUCUGCCCUGUCCCUCUGAGAGUCCUGUGCACCAUCAGCUUUACAUUUCCGGGCCAGGGAGAACCACGAUCUCUUCCCAGACAGAGAGCCCAUCUGUCCACGGCCUGGCCGAGAACAGGUGCAGAGCCGCCUCUAACUGGAGCUCUUCUGACUGCGGGGCACGCGUUAUGUGUUAUUUCCCAAAGCAGCGCAGGCCCCCGUUCUUUUGAACUUAACUGCGAUGAGCAAGGUUCCAGGCUGCUGGGUCAGGGAAGCUGA